ensembl:snRNA
GUGUUGUAUUAAAGGAGAGAUGGUUAGCACUCGCCUCGACAAGGAUGAAAGAGGCCCUUGGGCCUUACAACACACAUACAGUUAAGGUAUUGCCACCUACUUUAAAUGCAUAUGUACUUACUUAG